CACAGUCUAUAAUGCAGUAUUGUUCAAAAGUCCUAGCUGUAUUUAUGUGCCUAAGACUUUUGCACUGCAUUAAUAUCUGAAUUAGUAUUUAUCCAGUUAACAAAAUUUGCCUACCUUGAUAUUCAUUUUUUUUUAUUUGCGAUACAGCGUGGAAGACCCUUCUUGACGGUCUUGGGGGAGGGUCUCGGCCAGAAACAUCGACUGCACUCUUUAUCAUAGAUGCUCCCUGGCCUGCUGAGUUUCUCCAACAUUGUGUGUGUGUGUUGCCUACAUUUACACCAACUCAAUCUUAGCAUGUUACGGGAACUGAAAAAGCUUGUCUUCACAAGAUUUCCCUAAUUGGCUAAAUCGUGGAAUCUAGAGUAGACAGCGGCGACUUAAAAGCCUUGCGGUAGUUCAACGGGGGUCAGCUGACACAUACAAUCUGAUUUCCUUAAGGAACAUUGCACGUCCAGCACAAACAAGUCGGAUGCGCCUUCUUCCGAAGACACAAAAUUAACUAGUUUCAUUUCAAAGGCGUUUCGGCGGGGUGGGAAAAUAAUGAAAAUAGUGAGAGCACACCGUUUACAGUUUGCAGGACGAGGCGCCUGAAGGAUUAUACAACGCCGAUAUACAGCUGACCUGUCCGUGGAGUAAAGGAGAAUCCGACAGGUUUAAUCCUUAAGGUAAUAUACCAGAAGACCGAGAGCAGCUAAUUCUAUGGUGUUAUUAAAGAAAUACAGCAGAGGUACACCAUGACUCUAAGUUAAU